ACAGGUAUAGCUCAAUGUGAUAGAGCUCUAGCCUUGAGAAGAAAAAAAGCCAAGGAAGAGCUUGAGGCCCUGAGUGUAAAGUCCAGUACCUGUA
rnacentral:tRNA from 1 species